rnacentral:rRNA from 1 species
UACGGAGGGUGCAAGCGUUAAUCGGAAUAAUUGGGCGUAAAGAGCGCGUAGGUGGUUUGUUAAGUGCGUUGUGAAAAACAUGGGCUUAACCUGUGUGUGUCAACGCAAACUGACGAACUAGAGUGAAGUAGAGGGUCGUGGAAUUUCCGGUGUAGCGGUGAAAUGCGUAGAGAUCGGAAGGAACACCAGUGGCGAAGGCGACCACCUGGACUAAUACUGACACUGAGGUGCGAAAGCGUGGGGAGCAAACAGG